rnacentral:lncRNA from 1 species
GUAUUCCUAACAAAACAGAGGCCUGACAAGGAAGAAUACAUGUUGACAGCAUUUCUUAGGAUACGCUUCAAGGAACCCAUUAAAACAUCUCCACAGGCUACAGACUUCAAUCAGCAGAAGAUGUUCUGGAUCCCGUGUACCGUGGGGCUGAGCUUCCCAGUGACCCCAGCACAGCAGCCAACACUGCAUGGCCGGAGUAAUUAAACAGAUCGUGUUGCAGGAGAAGCCACCCCCCCACCCCCAAAUCCAUGUUCUUAUACUUUUGGAAAUGCCUUCUGUCUGCUCUCAUCAGCGACAACACUUCUGAGAUGGUUUGGAAAUAUUUAUGCAGCCAAUCCCGGUUACAAACAUCGGCAGUAGGGAAGAAGUCAAUGGAAAUCGGAGAGACAAUUAAACAAGACUCUGAGGAAAAAAAUAAGGCAUAGCAGAAAACACACAGCAAGCAUGCCAGAGAUGUUCCCCAGGGAGACACCGGGAAUUCCAGAGAUGGUGUUGCUGCCCAGUUGUGUGUGUCCAGAGGUCACUUUGCUGCUCUGCUCGGGGUCUGAGAAGCCAGGAGAAGAAGAACCCGGUGGAUAUGGAGUGCCGGCAUGAGAGUGUCUGCCAAGAUCAAAAUGUUCUCCAUCGUUGCGAGUAGAUGAGAUCUUAGAACCUGGAAUCACACAGUCCCAGCUCCAGCAGGGCUUCUGGCAACAGCCCCAGUGUCUUCAGCUACAGACAUCACCUCUGAAGAUGCCAAGAAAAGCAAACACAGGCCCCGAUCUCUUGUUGCACCAACUGGAAUGGAGCCCGCAGCAGCAGAGGAACUGAGCUGAGAGACAGCUUUCCUCUGACUCUGAAUUUCCCACCACCCCUCCCCCAUCCGGAUCCAGCAAACAAACAACAGACUUGUAAUAAAAUGUGCAGGUGUGACGGACGACUUUCUAUUCCGAGAUGCUGGGAUAAAAUGGCGUGCGGUAGGUCCCAGCAAGACGAACAGGACAGGAGGGAACCCCCAAAGGCACAGAUUUCAUUCCAGCCGUGGG